rnacentral:misc_RNA from 1 species
GUACCCUCCAGCCCUGCUGGGUGUUGGGCGUUUUGUUCCGCCGCGCGCGUGAACUCGCCUCAAAUACAUUGGCAGCCAGCCGUCCCGCGUGGGAGCGCAGCACAUUUUGCGCUCUCCGCUGGGUGCGGCGGCGUCCACAAGCCUAAUUUUUUACGC